rnacentral:lncRNA from 1 species
UGCAAAAUAGAUGCAGUCACUCUGGCUGCUCUAAAGUAAUGGUAACAUAAGGUCAAAGUAUGCAUUUCAGGCCAUUCACUCAGUUUGGUUGAUGUGCCUUACUUUAGUAAACCUUUGGUACAGUUAAAAUGGGGUUUUAAGAUUGUCGGAUAAAACCUUAGGUUCAUAAUUUGCUUAUCAGUAUAAAGCAACAAAAAGCCCUGCUUGAUUUCAAUCUGGAGUGGGUUUUAAAGCUGUUGCAAGCUCCCUGAAAUGAAGUGUGGAGUUUGAAAGUAGCAACCCUAAGUCUUCCAACUACACUUACAUGAAGUAUUCUUAGAAAAAUAUAAUAAAACUGACAUUUGAAAUGUAUGUGUUUCUGAUUGGCCUUCUAGAGUACCUUGCAGGAUUAGUGGACCUAAAAAUAAUUGGCAGCUAAGCCCUCCAGAGCUAUAUUUUGGCAAGGUUUUGCAAAAUGCUCACUAGCUGCAUUUCUUCUA